UCAGUCUCUCAAAGUGCUGGAAUUACAGGCAUGAGCCACCGCGCCUGGCCCAAACUCUGUAAAAUAUUUUAAGAGAUUUAUUCUGAGCCAAAUACGAAUGACCAUGGCCCAUGACGCAGCCCCCAGGAGACCCUGAGAACAUGUGCCUGUCACGCGCUUCCGUGUGAAGAGAUCUCCUAACAGGCUUUGCAUGAGCAAUAAAACUUUUUAUUUCACUUGGGUGCAAGUGGGCUGAGUCAGAAAAGAGUCAGCAAAGGGAGAUGGGGUGGGGCAGUUUCAUAGGAUUCGGGUAGGUAGGUGGAAAAUUACAGUUAAAGGGGGUUGUUCUCUUGCAGGCAGGAGUGGGGGUCACAAGGGGCAGGGUGGGGAGCUCAUGAGACUCAUUGUCCAGGGGAGGAAUGUCACAAGGUUGAUUGAUUAGUUGGGGUGGGGCAGGAACAAAUCACAAGGGUGGAAUGGCAUCUUUUGUGGUUCUUCAGUUGCUCCAGGCCAUCUGGAUGUAUACGGGCAGGUCACAGGGGUUAUGAUGGCUUAGCUUGGGCUCAGAGGCCUGACAGUAGCCAAGGUGGUCGGGAUACAGCUUGGUUUUAUACAUUUUAGGGAGGCAUGAGACAUCAAUCAAGUACUUUUAAGAAAUACAUUGGUUUGGUUUACAAAGGGAGGACAACUCAAAGCGGAGGGCUUCCAGGCUAUAGGUAAAUUUAAACAUUUUCUGGUUGACAAUUGGUUGAGUUUGUCUAAAGACGUGAGAUCCAUAGAAAUGAAUGUUCAGGUUAAUGAUAAAGGAUUGUAGAGACCAAGUUUUAUCGUUCAGAGGAAGCUCUUAUAAAGCAGACUUCAGAGAGAGCAGUUUGUAAAUUGUUUUUUAGCGGACUUUAAAUUUUGGCUUUGUAUUUUUUAGUGCCUGGCUCUUAGUUGAUUAUCUCCUGGAUGUGGGAAGAAAGGAAGGAAAACAAAGGGGAAAGGGGAUUCUGUAUAGAAUGUGGAUUUUUCCCACAAGAGACUUUGGAGAGCAAUUUCAAGGGGAAGGCUGAGACAUGUCUGGCUCCAGUCAAUUAACGACCUCAUCUCCACUGACUUAUUUGUCUGAAACAUGUUCAAAAAGUAAAGCAAAUAGAAAAGAGGAGAAGUCUUGGAGGAAGAAGGAAAGCAGACACAGGAUAUUUAUUAGGAUAAAUGUUUAAAGAUAACGCCACUGAGGAAGAGGCAGGCUAAAGCUUGCUCCAUGCCAAGCAAUCUGGGUAGCAGACUGGGAUUGGAUCCCAGUAUUGUAUAAAGAAGAAGCAUUAAAAGCUUGCCACC